AUGAAGUAUAUGAAGCUUGGAGCAAAGCCAGAUGUCUUUCAGACAGAGGGGAAUAUCAGGUUUGUGGCAACUGAACUGGCGACGGAUAUUGUUAUCACUGUAGGAGAUGUCAAGUUUUAUCUUCAUAAGUUCCCACUUUUGUCCAAGAGUUCCCGUCUGCAAACAUUGGUUGCCUCCACGGACGAGGAAGGCAACGAUGAAGUAGACAUUUCUGACAUCCCCGGUGGACCUUCAGCAUUUGAAAUCUGUGCAAAGUUCUGCUAUGGUAUGACCGUCACGCUGAACGCGUACAACGUCCUCGCGGCCCGCUGCGCGGCCGAGUUUCUCGAAAUGUUCGAGACGAUCGACAAAGGGAACCUCAUCUACAAGAUUGAUGUGUUCCUCUCCUCCAGCAUAUUCCGCACCUGGAAGGACUCGAUCAUCGUGCUGCAGACAACAAGGUCGCUCCUUCCCUGGUCAGAGAACCUGAAGGUGAUCAACCACUGUGUGGACUCCAUCGCGGCCAAGGCUUCCAUCGACCCCUCGGAGGUCGACUGGUCGUACACCUACAACCGGAAGAAGCUGCCGUCGGAGAGCGACCCCGACUCGCACUGGAACGGCGUGAGGAAGCAGCUGACGGUGCCCAGGGACUGGUGGGUGGAGGACAUCUGCGACCUCGAGAUGGGCUUGUACAAGAAGGUGAUCCUGGCCAUCAAGGCCAAGGGGAGAACCGCCGGCGAGGUGGUCGGAGAAGCGCUGCGAGCCUACGCGUACCGAAGGCUGUUCAGCACCUUGGACAGUGCUGCGAGCAACGGGCUUGACUGCACACGGCACCAUGCGGCUCUUGAGACCAUCAUUUCUCUGCUGCCACCUGAGAGAGGCUCCGUCUCCUGCGGCUUCCUGCUCAAGCUGGUGAGAGCGGCGUGCUUACUGGGGUCAGACGAGGCCUUGCGCGGCGACCUGGUAAAGAGGAUCGGCUCGCAGCUGGACAGAGCUUCCGUCUCUGAUCUUCUGAUACCCGCGAGCUCCGACGAGAAUGCUCUCUACAAUGUUGACCUGGUGUCCUCGAUACUGGAGGAGUUCAUGGUGCAGCGCAACGGCGAUGAUGAAGCAUUGGAGGACGGUGAGAGCUACCCGGCCUCUUUGGUCUCUGGCGGCGACUCGGAGCUCGCGUUGGUGAGGCUGGUCGACGGGUAUCUAGCCGAGAUCGCCAAAGACCCCAAUCUCCCUCUCCAAAAGUUCAUCGCCAUCGCUGAAAUGGCGCCCCUCGCGGCUCGGCCGACCCACGAUGGGCUCUACCGCGCCAUUGACAUGUAUCUCAAGGAGCAUCCGAGCCUGACGAAGAGCGAGAAGAAGAGGCUGUGCGGGCUCAUGGACUGCAAGAAGCUGACCGCCGAGGCGAGCUCCCACGCCGUGCAGAACGAGCGCCUCCCUCUGCGCUUGGUCGUGCAGGUCCUCUUCUUCGAGCAGCUCCGAGCAUCGGCCUCCGCCGAGGCGGCAGCGUCUGAUCACCACCCGUCCUCCGCCCUGCGCUCGCUCCUCCCCGGAGAGAACGGCAACUCGUAUGGCAGCUCCAGGUCGGCCGCCACGACGGCCACGACCGAGGACGACCAGUGGGGCGGCGGCAUGGCGCCAGCGUCCGGCGACACCAGCUCCUUCCGGUCGAUGAGCGGCCUGGGCAACAACAAGAGCGGAGGGAACGGCGGCAAGGCGGCGGCCAAGGGCCCGCUGCAGAUGCCGAGGAAGAUGCUGAGCAAGCUGUGGUCCAGCAAGGCGAGCAGCGGGGAGAACAGCGCCGGCUCCGACACGUCGGAGAGCCCCGGCUCCGUCAACCUCGAGGCCGAGACCAAGUCCACGCAUUCGCGGAACACCAGGCAUUCCGUCUCGUAG
rnacentral:rRNA from 1 species